rnacentral:lncRNA from 1 species
UUUUUUUUUGCUCUACUUCUUAUGGAUAUCUUGUGGUUCUUAUUAUUGGUAUCUUGCUAUACUGAGGACCACCCCGGGUGAAGGAUUUUCUCGCUGCGUUGAAGACCCAUUGGAGGCCUUCGGCUGUUGUUUGCUCUAUGGUCGGGUUGUUGUCUCUUUGACAUAUUCCCCAUUUCCAUUCUCAAUUUUAUAUUUUACACUACUUAUCAGUACCUAGCUGUACUACUUAUGGUUAUUUUUCCGAACUACUUAUCAAUGUCUUGCUAUACUUAUUAUUAAUAUCUGGUUGCACUACUUAUUGAUAUCUAAUUGUAUUACUUACUGGUAUCUUGUUGUACUCAGUAUUAGUAUAUACGUAUGUGUAGAAAGAAGAC